rnacentral:rRNA from 1 species
ACACUCCUGCGGGAGGCAGCAGUGGGGAAUAUUGCACAAUGGGCGCAAGCCUGAUGCAGCCAUGCCGCGUGUAUGAAGAAGGCCUUCGGGUUGUAAAGUACUUUCAGCGGGGAGGAAGGCGAUAAGGUUAAUAACCUUGUUGAUUGACGUUACCCGCAGAAGAAGCACCGGCUAACUCCGUGCCAGCAGCCGCGGUAAUACGGAGGGUGCAAGCGUUAAUCGGAAUUACUGGGCGUAAAGCGCACGCAGGCGGUCUGUCAAGUCGGAUGUGAAAUCCCCGGGCUCAACCUGGGAACUGCAUUCGAAACUGGCAGGCUAGAGUCUUGUAGAGGGGGGUAGAAUUCCAGGUGUAGCGGUGAAAUGCGUAGAGAUCUGGAGGAAUACCGGUGGCGAAGGCGGCCCCCUGGACAAAGACUGACGCUCAGGUGCGAAAGCGUGGGGAGCAAACAGGAUUAGAAACCCCGGUAGUCCCAUGA